AAGAUAAUGACGGUACUUGAGGAAUCAGCAUCGGCUAACUCCGUGCCAGCAGCCGCGGUAAUACGGAGGAUGCAAGCGUUAUCCGGAAUAAUUGGGCGUAAAGCGUUCGUAGGUGGUGAUGUAAGUCUGCUGUUAAAGCGUGUAGCUUAACUACAUAUAGGCGGUGGAAACUACAUGACUAGAGUGCGUUCGGGGCAGAGGGAAUUCCUGGUGUAGCGGUGAAAUGCGUACAUAUCAGGAAGAACACCGGUGGCGAAGGCGCUCUGCUAGGCCGUAACUGACACUGAGGGACGAAAGCUAGGGGAGCGAAUGGGAUUAGAUACCCCAGUAGUCCUAGCUGUAAACGAUGGAUACUAGGCGUUGUCUGUAUCGACCCGGACAGUGCCGUAGCUAACGCGUUAAGUAUCCCGCCUGGGGAGUACGCACGCAAGUGUGAAACUCAAAGGAAUUGACGGGGGCCCGCACAAGCGGUGGAGUAUGUGGUUUAAUUCGAUGCAACGCGAAGAACCUUACCAAGGCUUGACAUGUCCGGAAUUUCUUGGAAACGAGAAAGUGCCUUCGGGAACCGGAACACAGGUGGUGCAUGGCUGUCGUCAGCUCGUGUCGUGAGAUGUUGGGUUAAGUCCCGCAACGAGCGCAACCCUCGUUUUUAGUUGCCAGCACUUCGGGUGGGCACUCUAGAGAGACUGCCGGUGACAAACCGGAGGAAGGUGGGGAUGACGUCAAGUCAUCAUGCCCCUUACGUCUUGGGCUACACACGUACUACAAUGCUAUGGACAAAGAGCAGCCAACCAGCGAUGGUGCGCUAAUCUCAUAAACCAUGGCUCAGUUCAGAUCGCAGGCUGCAACUCGCCUGCGUGAAGUAGGAAUCGCUAGUAAUUGCAGGUCAGCAUACUGCAGUGAAUUCGUUCCCGGGCCUUGUACACACCGCCCGUCACACCAUGGAAGUUGGUCAUGCCCGAAGUCGUUAUUCCAACCG
rnacentral:rRNA from 1 species